GGGGUAAAGGGGCGGGGCCUUGUGGUUGGCAUAGCAACAGACAUGGGUCAAACUCACCUGGGGGUUAGGGCGGGGUUGUUUGUCACUAAGGAAUCAUUGCUGAAUGACACUACAGUGGAGAACCAGAGCCCCGGGCUUUUCUAAACAAACAGCCCUGGUCACUGCUGAAUUCAAAGUGUACUGCCGGGGCCGGGCGCGGUGGCUCACGCCUGUAAUCCCAACACUUUGGGAGGCUGAGGCAGGCGGAUCACGAGGUCAGGAGAUAGAGACCAUCCUGGCCAACAUGGUGAAACCGAAACCCCGUCUCUACUAAAAAUACAAAAAUUAGCUGGGCAUGAUGGCGGGCGCCUGUAAUCCCAGCUACUCAGGAGGCUGAGGCAGGAGAAUCACUUGAACCCAGGAAGCGGAGGUUACAGUGAGCCGAGAUGGUGCCACUGCACUGCAGCCUGUCAACAGAGCAAGACUUGUCUGGAAAAAAAAAAAAAUGCGCACCGCCGGGCCCGCCUCCCUCAGCACCCAAUGCUGGUCGGAGCCCUCGGGCAAACAAACUACCUCCUGCAUCCGGGAACUUACCCUCCAGGCGGAAGGAAAGAAUGCGGGGACAGAGACCUGUCCUGGGAGAAGCUCCUUAGGAGAUGAAGGAGCACCGAAAGAUGCCUGACGUUUUUACGACUCCUCUUUCAUGUUUGUGUCCCAUCUCUUCUCAGAAGAAUUAGCCAUGUUUUGUGAAUUCCAGGUGCCAUCUUCAAAAACACCCUUGGAUUCUAGCCAAUCACCAAAAUGGCAGAGACGGCCACCUGAGACCAAUUAGAAUAUCCACACCAGUGGAAGAGAGCUCCAGUGGUAAAUUUCCUAGAUGUACAACUAUUGAUUUCAUGAUGUAUUGUUCCAUAAGGUGACUUUAAAACAGGACAAAAGUCAUGAUUCGUAUCUUUGUUUCAUCUUGUCGUUAAUAUUAUAUCUGGUAAUUUUCUUGAAAACAUAAGGACUUAUUUUACAAAUUUGUAUGCUUUCAUAAGUACUUCAUUGUAACUUUAAUAGUAAAUAAACUUUGGCUUUAUUAAGGUGUAGGAGAGAAAACCCUACGAACAGAAAUAAAACAAUUGUGAUGAAUCAUUCAUUAAUCCCUGGGA
rnacentral:lncRNA from 10 species